rnacentral:piRNA from 1 species
UCCUGAUGUGCCACACCAGCACUGAAGAGA